GAGGUGUUUGCUGGAUACACAGAGGCAGGAGGAGAAAGAAGUAUUUCCUCCUGCAUCUGUGUGUAUAGCAGGCACUUU
ensembl:miRNA Mir6216 microRNA 6216